UACAGAGGUGGCAAGCGUUGUUCGGAUUUACUGGGCGUAAAGGAUGCGUAGGUGGCGCUGUAUGUCAGAUGUGAAAGCUCAUCGCUCAACGGUGAAAGUGCAUUUGAAACUACAGUGCUAGAGUAUGGGAGAGGAGAGUGGAAUUCUUGGUGUAGCGGUGAAAUGCGUAGAUAUCAAGAAGAACACCGGUGGCGAAGGCGACUCUCUGGCCCGAUACUGACACUGAGGCAUGAAAGCUGGGGGAGCAAACAGG
rnacentral:rRNA from 1 species